GUGGGGAAUAUUGGGCAAUGGGGGAAACCCUGACCCAGCGACGCCGCGUGAGGGAAGACGGCCUUCGGGUUGUAAACCUCUUUUGUACGGGAAGAAGGAAGUGACGGUACUGUACGAAUAAGUCCCGGCUAACUACGUGCCAGCAGCCGCGGUAAUACGUAGGGGACGAGCGUUGUCCGGAAUUACUGGGCGUAAAGGGCGCGCAGGCUGUGCUGCAAGUCAGCUGUGAAAUGUCUGGGCUUAACCCGGGCAUGCGGUUGAGACUGCAGUGCUGGAGUGCUGUAGAGGCAAGUGGAAUUCCCAGUGUAGCGGUGAAAUGCGUAGAUAUUGGGAAGAACACCGGUGGCGAAGGCGACUUGCUGGGCAGCAACUGACGCUGAGGCGCGAAAGCCAGGGGAGCAAACGGGAUUAGAUACCCUAGUAGUCC
rnacentral:rRNA from 1 species